AUUAUUCGUUUCAGCCCUUGUUGCGGGUAACUGGCGCCGAUCCCAUUUAACUUUGGGCAAGAGGCUGGGUACACCCUGGACUGGGCGGCAGUCAAUUGUCGGGAACAUGUAGACAAGCAACAUUUGACACUCACACCGAUAGACAAUUUAGAGUCUUCAAUGAACCAAAUAUGCAUAUUUUUUAGAACAUGGGGAAAACAUUCAAACUCCACAUGGGAAGGCAGUAAGUGGCGCCUUCAGACAUCUGGAAAUUGCACCCGAGGAUGAACCAGACUUGUGCAACUCCACAAUUACCUUACUUAUAUGUUGACUGAUUUCUUUUGACUUUCCCAUGAUGUUAAACAAAGAAGUGUGUUUCAAGAGUGCCUUCUAAUACAUCCACAGGUAUGUCUCUAAUUAAGUCAAAAGCUUCCAAAGACACGACAUCAAAAUCUGUCAUAUUUUUGAGAACAUGGGGAAAACAUUUAAACUCCACAUGGGAAGGCAGUAAGUGACAAGUGUAAUUCAGCAGCUUGAUGCUGUUUCCAUGGAGGAAAAUAGAAUCUAUGCUGUCUUGUUGGGGCUCAGUCACUUUCUUAGAUUUAGUAGCACUGCCUCUUAAGUCAUCAUGUCACCUGUGGCCCUACAGAAUGUGAGGUGAGAUGAGAGAUGUCUCAGUUGCACAAGGAAAACAGGCUGAUUUCCGCAAUACAAGAAACAGGCAUGCAUAGCGUUUUACCGGUAUAAUACGUUAUUAUUGGGGUAUUUUGAGGUUAUAGACAAGUUAUCAAGACACCUGGUAACCGUUUUCAAUCAUGAAAAAAUGCAUAAUAUGUCUCCUUUAAAAGAGCUUAGACAUAUUGAAAAUAAUGAAGUAGGAAUGUAGCGCAAACAUGUGCUUCUUUCACUAAUAUCCCAAGGGGCAUAUUUGAGAGCAGCCCACGUCAAGAGAGACAGCUGCUUCAGUCAUACAUCUCUCUACCAACAACACACAAGUACACUGGAGGCUUUCCAUUGGCUUUUAACUACUUGGAGACGACAGCAGAGCAACAAGUCAUCAUCUGCACGUUCAAACCAACACUGGUAUCCCCUUGGGACGUCGUCAACAUAAGGUGGGUCUCUACCUGCUCGCCCAUCAAGUGUGGAAUUUAACCGACCACGUAAAUCUUGGCACUCACCUACAUGACUGAAAAUGGGCAGAUUUCCGCAAGGUGUUUAAAGUACUUGAGAUACAGUAUUUUGACGUACGUACAGUAUGUGACAGAUAUGUUAAUCACACACCUACAAACUGCUUUAAAUUAUGGGGAGGAAGUAAUACAAUUAUGCAAACAUAUAUAGGCCCAUUGGACAUUAUACACUGUGGUUGGCUGGCAACCCCGCCUCUCCCCCAUAGUCAGCUGAGAUAGGCGCCGGCAUGCCCGUGACCCGAGUGAGCGUAAGCGGUACGGAAAAUGGAUGGAGGGAUAUUAUACACGUGGAGCUUUUAAAAAUAUGGACAGAAAUGGUGGAAACAGACUCCUGGCAAAGCAAACCGUCCACCUUCUCUGACUUCACAGUUGAUGAAGAUGAAUAUCAACUGGCGUCCAGACAGUUUACACAUGACUGAUUACUCUGCUUGGCUUUCCAAGCAUGAAAAACUGCUGGCUAUCAAAUGUCAGCAUCCAUCAUUGUCUGCGCAUAAAACCUUGUUCUACUGUGCAAGUUAUAUUUUUCAACUUAUACAGUGAGUGACUGCAUUAGUUUUUUUUACAUUUGUAUUUGGAGUCAUAUGGGUUACACUACUGUUUGUUUUUUUCUGCUGCAGUUUGAAUAUACAAUAAAAAAAAUCAAUAAACGUCGGAAUCAAUAAAGCAUGAAAAUGCAUGAUGUUUCGAUAUAUAUGUUACAUGUUUCAGAAGACAAAGCGAAGGCUACAGCUUUGACAUUUAAAUAAUGGUCUUUGUUUUCGCUUACUCAUCA